GGGUCUAAUACCGGAUAUGACUCCUCAUCGCAUGGUGGGGGGUGGAAAGCUUUUGUGGUUUUGGAUGGACUCGCGGUCUAUCAGCUUGUUGGUGGGGUAAUGGCCUACCAAGGCGACGACGGGUAGCCGGCCUGAGAGGGUGACCGGCCACACUGGGACUGAAACACGGCCCAGACUCCUACGGGAGGCAGCAGUGGGGAAUAUUGCAGAAUGGGCGCAAGCCUGAUGCAGCGACGCCGCGUGAGGGAUGACGGCCUUCGGGUUGUAAACCUCUUUCAGUAGGGAAGAAGCGAAAGUGACGGUACCUGCAGAAGAAGCGCCGGCUAACUACGUGCCAGCAGCCGCGGUAAUACGUAGGGCGCAAGCGUUAUCCGGAAUUAUUGGGCGUAAAGAGCUCGUAGCGGUUUGUCGCGUCUGCUGUGAAGACCGGGGCUCAACUCCGGUUCUGCAGUGGGUACGGGCAGACUAAGACCGGGGCUCAACUCCGGUUCUGCAGUGGGUACGGGCAGACUAAGACCGGGGCUCAACUCCGGUUCUGCAGUGGGUACGGGCAGACUAGAGUGCAGUAGGGGAGACUGGAAUUCCUGGUGUAGCGGUGAAAUGCGCAGAUAUCAGGAGGAACACCGAUGGCGAAGGCAGGUCUCUGGGCUGUAACUGACGCUGAGGAGCGAAAGCAUGGGGAGCGAACAGGAUUAGAUACCCUGGUAGUCCAUGCCGUAAACGUUGGGCACUAGGUGUGGGGGACAUUCCACGUUUUCCGCGCCGUAGCUAACGCAUUAAGUGCCCCGCCUGGGGAGUACGGCCGCAAGGCUAAAACUCAAAGGAAUUGACGGGGGCCCGCACAAGCGGCGGAGCAUGCGGAUUAAUUCGAUGCAACGCGAAGAACCUUACCAAGGCUUGACAUGAACCGGUAAUACCUGGAAACAGGUGCCCCGCUUGCGGUCGGUUUACAGGUGGUGCAUGGUUGUCGUCAGCUCGUGUCGUGAGAUGUUGGGUUAAGUCCCGCAACGAGCGCAACCCUCGUUCUAUGUUGCCAGCGCGUUAUGGCGGGGACUCAUAGGAGACUGCCGGGGUCAACUCGGAGGAAGGUGGGGACGACGUCAAAUCAUCAUGCCCCUUAUGUCUUGGGCUUCACGCAUGCUACAAUGGCCGGUACAAAGGGUUGCGAUACUGUGAGGUGGAGCUAAUCCCAAAAAGCCGGUCUCAGUUCGGAUUGGGGUCUGCAACUCGACCCCAUGAAGUCGGAGUCGCUAGUAAUCGCAGAUCAGCAACGCUGCGG
rnacentral:rRNA from 1 species